CUGCGAAUGGCUCAUUAAAUCAGUUAUCGUUUAUUUGAUAGUACCUUACUACUUGGAUAACCGUGGUAAUUCUAGAGCUAAUACAUGCUAAAAACCCCGACUUACGGAGGGGUGUAUUUAUUAGAUUAAAAACCAAUGCCCUUCGGGGCUCUUUGGUGAUUCAUAAUAACUUUUCGAAUCGCAUGGCCUUGCGCCGGCGAUGGUUCAUUCAAAUUUCUGCCCUAUCAACUUUCGAUGGCAGGGUCUUGGCCUGCCAUGGUUACAACGGGUAACGGAGGGUUAGGGCUCGACCCCGGAGAAGGAGCCUGAGAAACGGCUACUACAUCCAAGGAAGGCAGCAGGCGCGCAAAUUACCCAAUCCCGAUUCGGGGAGGUAGUGACAAUAAAUACUGAUACAGGGCUCUUUUGGGUCUUGUAAUUGGAAUGAGUACAAUUUAAAUCCCUUAACGAGGAACAAUUGGAGGGCAAGUCUGGUGCCAGCAGCCGCGGUAAUUCCAGCUCCAAUAGCGUAUAUUAAAGUUGUUGCAGUUAAAAAGCUCGUAGUUGAACCUUGGGCCUGGCUGGCCGGUCCGCCUCACCGCGUGCACUGGUUCGGCCGGGCCUUUCCCUCUGGGGAGCCGCAUGCUCUUUAUUGAGUGUGUCGGGGAACCAGGACUUUUACUGUGAAAAAAUUAGAGUGUUCAAAGCAGGCCUAUGCUCGAAUACAUUAGCAUGGAAUAAUAGAAUAGGACGUGUGGUUCUAUUUUGUUGGUUUCUAGGACCGCCGUAAUGAUUAAUAGGGACAGUCGGGGGCAUCAGUAUUCAAUUGUCAGAGGUGAAAUUCUUGGAUUUAUUGAAGACUAACUACUGCGAAAGCAUUUGCCAAGGAUGUUUUCAUUAAUCAGGAACGAAAGUUAGGGGAUCGAAGACGAUCAGAUACCGUCGUAGUCUUAACCAUAAACUAUGCCGACUAGGGAUCGGACGGUGUUAUUAUUUGACCCGUUCGGCACCUUACGAGAAAUCAA
rnacentral:rRNA from 1 species